CCUACGGGAGGCAGCAGUGGGGAAUUUUGGACAAUGGGCGCAAGCCUGAUCCAGCCAUGCCGCGUGCGGGAAGAAGGCCUUCGGGUUGUAAACCGCUUUUGUCAGGGAAGAAAUCCUUUGAGCUAACACCUCGGGGGGAUGACGGUACCUGAAGAAUAAGCACCGGCUAACUACGUGCCAGCAGCCGCGGUAAUACGUAGGGUGCGAGCGUUAAUCGGAAUUACUGGGCGUAAAGCGUGCGCAGGCGGUCUUGCAAGACAGGUGUGAAAUCCCCGGGCUUAACCUGGGAACUGCACUUGUGACUGCAAGGCUGGAGUACGGCAGAGGGGGAUGGAAUUCCGCGUGUAGCAGUGAAAUGCGUAGAUAUGCGGAGGAACACCGAUGGCGAAGGCAAUCCCCUGGGCCUGUACUGACGCUCAUGCACGAAAGCGUGGGGAGCAAACAGGAUUAGAUACCCUGGUAGUCCACGCCCUAAACGAUGUCAACUGGUUGUUGGACGGCUUGCUGUUCAGUAACGAAGCUAACGCGUGAAGUUGACCGCCUGGGGAGUACGGCCGCGAAGGUUGAAACGUUAAAGUGAAAGUUGACGG
rnacentral:rRNA from 1 species